AUGGCGCAAGAGAGUUGGAAAGAGGCGGAGGAUACGGGUGUCCACGCACCUGAGGCUCCGAUAAUGUGCAUCAACAACUGUGGCUUCUUCGGCAACCGGAUGACCGAAAACAUGUGUUCAAAGUGUUACCGAGACACUGUCAAGGCCAAGAAGAUGGCCCUUCUAGUCGAGAACAAAACUGCUGCUGCUGUUGCAUCGUCACCCACACCAAUGGUGGCAGAGAUCAAGGAUGAAGCGUCUGCCUCAGCCAAAGAAGGAAAACAAGUAGCCGAGGAGGAGGCGCCGAAGCCACCCAGCAACCGCUGCCUGUCGUGCCGGAAGAAGGUCGGGCUGACGGGGUUCAAGUGCCGCUGCGGAGACACCUUCUGCUCGAUGCACCGCUAUGCCGACGCGCACGAUUGCAAGUUCGACUACAAGCAGGCCGGCAGGGAGCAGAUCGCCCAGCAGAACCCCGUCGUCAAGGCUGACAAGGUCACCAGAUUCUGA
rnacentral:rRNA from 1 species